AUUUACCUGGGGGUUGACCUUCGGAAAUUGUAGACCUGGAGAGGUUAAGUCGACGAGGGACUCGUCGAUCAUUUUUUGAUGAAUAAAUUAUGGAUUUUGGGUAUGAAAUUGUGAGUUGUCUUUUACGAAGUGUUAAAUUCUUCAAGUUUUUGAUGAAAAAUUGAGGUUUGAGGGUCGGAGCUCGUCCAGGAAGUGGUUUUUCUCGUAGAAGAUGAUCCUAACUCCUGAUUUUUCAACUUUUCUUUCUCAAAAAUCGAAAUGAUAAUGAAAUUGAGGAAAAAAAACGAUUUUAAACCAAAAAAAAAUCACUUUCACCCCCAAAAAUCAAAAUUAACUCCCAAAAACUUCUCAAAUCAUUCCACACUCCCCAUCUCCACCAUCUCCAACCCCCUGACCACCACUGACGACCAUCGCGUGCCAGCCAAACUGCCUCCAGCCCACCACAUCCUCUCCCCUAUAAUUUCCCCCACAAAACCCCUGAUGAUAUCAACAAAGAACUGCUACCCAACCCCUAAAAUGACCACCCGUCGACGUAAACGUCCUACCACCGCUGGAUAAACGUUCUCAUCUAUCAUGUAGAGGUGCUAGAGCCCCCAGGUUACGCCAGACAUCCCCCAGAGUCGGCUGCCCAGUCUCUGACGAACUUUACCCCACGAAAAACUUCACUAAAAACAGAUGAACGUCGAGGCCCUGUCCCCCAACUUCCAGAUAUUCACCAGGUUCGGGGUUUGGCUCCCACCCGAGUGGUCCUCCCGUCGACGAAGACUAUUAUACAAAACGUACUCCACCUUCGUGACGAUUAUGCUGUACUCAAUGUUCAUCUUCCAAUUUAUUGGUGUGUUCGGGUCGAUUGGGAACGUCAAUGACCUGGUGGAGUCGAUCUACACGUCUGCAACAGUCGUCAACCUGGGGUGGAAGAUGUUCAACUUGUUGGAAAAACGUGGGGAUAUUGUGAGGCUGCUGGGGUUGUUGGAGACCGACGUCUGUCAGGUCCAGAGUCGUAGGGAGGAGGAGAUUCAGGAGAAGUGUAAUCAACGAAUUUGGAACCGUACGAAGUUCCUGUGUCUUUUCUUCGAGACGACGUGUGUUACCCUCAUUUUAACGUCGAUAGUGAAGAAUAUUCCGGAUCGUUCUCUCCCACUGAAGGCCUGGGUGCCAUUUAAUUACGUCGAUGGAUACUUUUACUGGCCAGUUUACCUCCACCAAGUCCUGGGGCUGAUCUACGUGGGGAUGAUUCACGCCUCCUAUGACACAUUCGUCGUCGGUGUCAUGCUGAUUCUCUGCAGUCAACUGAAGAUCCUCCAGCACAGAAAUUCUGAAAUGAAUCUCCUGAAGAAGAGAACACCUGGUGCUGUCGUUAAUCCAAAAAUCCUGGAGAAGGAAUUUGUCAUGAAUUCAGUGAAACAUCACCAGCUGUUACAACAGUUCGCUGAAACCUUCAACAACAUCAUAAUUUACGUUAUUUUUAUUCAGUACUCGGUGAGCUCGUUUGUCACGUGCGUCACAGCUUACAAAUUAGUUAAUUUAGAAGCUGGUGAUCCUGAAUUUGCAUUUACUAUUUUGUACUGCUCGAGUAUGAUAAUACAAACGUUUUUCUACUGCUGGUACGGUAACGAAGUCAUUCUGGAGAGCGCCAACAUCGGGAAUUCCCUGUACACGUCGAGAUGGUACUCCCUGGAGACAGGAACUGUGCGUGACGUGAUGAUGAUAAUGAAGAAGAUGCAGCACUCUAUGAAAUUCUCCUGCAGUCCGUUGUUCGUUCUCUCCGUGGACUCGUUCAAAAACAUCAUGAAGGUGACCUACAGCACAUUCAGCGUUCUAGCAAAAACCUAAAAUAUGGUACCCUAAAGUACUGGUGAUUCUGGUUAUUCAGACAACUGUUGUCAUCAUCGAGGUAGUUCAUCGUCUCCCUGGUGUCUUAUUACAUUCCCAUGAAAUAUGUUGACAGGUGUUGACAGGCCAUUUGGACGUGGCAAUUACAGUGAUCGGAGGGGGGAGGGGCAGGGGGGAGAGGAGAGUUCCGGAUCGUCAACCCCUCUCCCCCUUUUUUUUUUAAUUAAAGAAACAAUCGACGAAAGUUUCAAUUUCGUUUCCAAUCGAUAAUCGCAAAUAUCUCGAAAACUAUCGAAUCGAUUUUGAUGUUUGACGUCUCAAAAUACUCGUCUCCUGACACCCCACCUCGACCAAUCAAAAUACCGCAGCCCGUUAUUACAAAAUUAUCGAGAUAUUUCCCUUUUUCUGUUUUUUAGAAAAAAAAUUUUGUUAAAAUUUUCAAAAAAUCGUUCGUCAAAUUACAAUUUGACCCAAAAUUUCCUGUCAAAUUCAUGAAUUAAUUAGUAAAUCCUAAUUUCCUGACAAGUCUUCAUCCCUUCGGUUUCGUUCGCCCCGAGGAAACCCCGGAAUAAAUCCAAAACCAACAAUUUCCGUAUCGAUUCUCCCGUAUCGACUCUCCCCUCCUUCAAUUUCCUCAUUUUUUACACGAAACCCGAAGUCAACUCCACCUUCUCGACGAAGUCACGCAAGAAGAAACGAAAAUACUCACGACAACCGAGAAAUCCAGGUGCUUUCGUUCAUAAAUAAUGAGCCCAUCGAUGUGAAUACCUCACAAUCGACAGAAGAACGACAUUUCCGUCAAUUUUUUAUCAUUUUCUAUCUCAUAAACUAUUCACACAACGAUUACAUCAACAAUUUCCACGACAUCUACCUCCCCAACAUGCCGCCGACAUGCCGCCAACAUCCCGCCAACAUUUAUACUUACCUCAUCUAUCGACCGGCCACGUGGAACGUU